UAGGGAAUUCUCGGCAAUGGGGGAAACCCUGACCGAGCGACGCCGCGUGAGGGAUGAAGGCCUUCGGGUUGUAAACCUCUGUCUUCGGGGACGAUGAUGACGGUACCCGAGGAGGAAGCCACGGCUAACUACGUGCCAGCAGCCGCGGUAAGACGUAGGUGGCGAGCGUUGUCCGGAAUUAUUGGGCGUAAAGGACGUGUAGGCGGCCUGUCAAGUCAGACGUGAAAUCCCUGGGCUUAACCUUGGGACUGCGUUUGAUACUGAUGGGCUUGAGGACAGGAGAGGAAAGUGGAACUCCGUGUGUAGCGGUGAAAUGCUCAGAUAUACGGAAGAACACCAGUGGCGAAGGCGACUUUCUGGACUGUCCCUGACGCUGAGGCGCGAAAGCCAGGGGAGCGAACGG
rnacentral:rRNA from 1 species